rnacentral:rRNA from 1 species
UACGUAAGGGGCAAGCGUUGUCCGGAUUUAUUGGGCGUAAAGAGCGUGUAGGCGGCCAUGUAGGUCCGUUGUGAAAACUCGAGGCUCAACCUCGAGACGCCGAUGGAAACCAUGUGGCUAGAGUCCGGAAGAGGAGAGUGGAAUUCCUGGUGUAGCGGUGAAAUGCGCAGAUAUCAGGAGGAACACCGAUUGCGAAGGCAGCUCGCUGGAACGUUACUGACGCUGAGACGCGAAAGCGUGGGGAGCAAACAGG